rnacentral:rRNA from 1 species
UACAGAGGGUGCAAGCGUUGUUCGGAAUUAUUGGGCGUAAAGCGCGUGUAGGCGGCUACGUAAGUUGGGUGUGAAAGCCCUCGGCUUAACCGAGGAAGUGCGCCCAAAACUGCGAGGCUUGAGUACCGGAGAGGAUGGCGGAAUUCCCGGUGUAGAGGUGAAAUGCGUAGAUAUCUGGAGGAACACCGGUGGCGAAGGCGGCAUCCUGGACCGGCAUUGACGCUGAGGCGCGAAAGCCAGGGGAGCAAACGGG